rnacentral:lncRNA from 1 species
GGUUGCUCUAGCAACAAUCACAGAGGUCCCUUGGGAAUUGUUACCAGGGUGAACUCACCAGCCAGGGGAAUACCCCAGAAAGAGCUGCCAGUGGGAGGAGGGCCAGCCUCACUGGUGACUGGAGUCCAGCAGUCCCACUGAUUGGGAGUGCUGAGCCAAGCCCAUGUCGUGCUUCGCUGAUGCAUGGCUGGGCUGAAGAAAGAGCCCUUUGAAUUGUUCAUAGAAAAGACUGGUGCCCAAAAGGCCAGGGCUCAAGAAUGAGGCUGCCUCAAGCACAGUGCUUGGCAGGACACCAGGGCUGAAAGGUACAGCAAAGGCCUCCCAGAAUCGCUUCUCAGAGCAGGGGUUUGCAUCACAGACUGGCCACUGCAAAGACAGAUGGGAACUCACAGGUUUUGUGUGUGUGUUUGUGGUUCACUGCUGAUGGAUGCAUGUCAGAAGGCACCUGAGCCUUGGCCCAGCCUUCAUGUGGAGAGAAAACCCAGACCUGUGUGAGCAGCAGGUACUUGAAGAAAGAGAAGCAAGGCCGAGCCUCCAGGGCUUUGUCAGAGGCUCCUUCCUUCCUGGAAUCCAAUUGUACAACCAGGAGCCAGAGGUCUUGGUGGCCGGAUGUGGGUCUAAUCCUGGUUCCAUGGCCUCCCAACUGAGUGAAUGAGAUUAUAAUGAUAAAAUAUAAUUUACUGUGUACCCGGCACUGCCCUAAGCACUUUGUGUUUCUUAUCUCAUUUACUCUUCACAGAAACUCUUGGUACUAUUACUAUACUCGAUUACUAGAGAAGAAAACUGCGGCACAGGAUAGAGUUGGUUUGCCAAGGACUUUCAGCUUCUUGGGUUGGGACACAUUGUCUAUUUGUUGCAUGUGUGGAGAACAGUGGACAGCAAAGAUCAAAACCCUUAGGGGAGAAGGGCAAGAGAGAGGAUAUGAGUGGGGAUUCUCUGCUCCCCUGAACAGUAUUCCAGGAUUCCUUCACCAAUUGAAGUUCAAGUUUGGUCCUCUGAGCAAAAAGUUUAGAGAAGUUCCUUUAUGCAUUUAUUUAAAUUUAGAAUAAACAUCUCUG